AGCGAACGCUGGCGGCAGGCUUAACACAUGCAAGUCGAACGCCCCGCAAGGGGAGUGGCAGACGGGUGAGUAACACGUGGGAACGUACCCUUUGGUUCGGAAUAACUUGGGGAAACUCAAGCUAAUACCGGAUAAGCCCUUAUGGGGAAAGGUUUACUGCCGAAGGAUCGGCCCGCUUCUGAUUAGCUAGUUGGUGAGGUAAUGGCUCACCAAGGCGACGCUCAGUAGCUGGGCUGAGAGGAUGAUAAGCCACACUGGGACUGAGACACGGCCCAGACGCCUACGGGAGGCAGCGGUGGCGACUAUUGGACAAUGGGGGAAACCCUGAUCCAGCCAUGCAGCGUGAGUGAUGAAGGCCUUAGGGUUGUAAAGCUCUUUUACCCGGGACGAUAAUGACUGUACCGGGAGAAUAAGCCCCGGCUAACGUCGUGCCAGCCGCCGCAGUAA
rnacentral:rRNA from 1 species